rnacentral:ncRNA from 1 species
UGUUGGACGCAACAUGGGAGUGACUGAAUAAACUUACUGGCAACCGCUAGUUAAGGUGAUGAGACACAGGUGGUGCUGCUACCGCAGGGUAGAACCGACCUACCAGUCGGGUCUCAGGCAACAACGUUUUUACUGCUGUAGUAAUGCCCGUUGUUUGUUGGUAUACAGGAUUCCAACCUCCCUCUUA